ACUGGAGAAGGACAUUGAGGAGCUGAAGAGAAGAGAAGCAGAACUGAAGGAGCUUUCAGAGACCGAGCACAAUCUCCACUUUCUACAGACUUUCUCAUCCCGCUGUGUCCUUCCUGCUGAUGGAGACUUGCUGAGCUUCACUGUCACUGCUGAAUUCUCUUCUGAGGGCCUGAGAAAGGAGCUGUCAGGUCUGAAAAAAAGUCUGGAGAAGAUCAGCCAGGGGGACAUCAUAACAAGGACUCCAUCAGCUCAUGAAGCUCCAGUUUUCACCCUCCAGCCUCCUGAA